GAAUAAUCGAUUAUUCGAAUAUUCGAUUAUUCGAAUAUUCGUUCGGUGGGUUGUCAUUCGAUUUUCAAUUUUGAGAUUCGAAUAUUCCUUUUUUUUUGUCUU